AUUGAACGCUGGCGGCAUGCUUUACACAUGCAAGUCGAACGGCAGCGCGGGCUUCGGCCUGGCGGCGAGUGGCGAACGGGUGAGUAAUGCAUCGGAACGUGCCCAGUAGUGGGGGAUAGCCCGGCGAAAGCCGGAUUAAUACCGCAUACGACCUGAUGGUGAAAGCGGGGGACCGAAAGGCCUCGCGCUAUUUGCGCGGCCGAUGUCGGAUUAGCUAGUUGGUGGGGUAAAGGCUUACCAAGGCGACGAUCCGUAGCUGGUCUGAGAGGACGACCAGCCACACUGGGACUGAGACACGGCCCAGACUCCUACGGGAGGCAGCAGUGGGGAAUUUUGGACAAUGGGGGCAACCCUGAUCCAGCAAUGCCGCGUGAGGGAAGAAGGCCUUCGGGUUGUAAACCGCUUUUGUUCGGGAAGAAAUCCUCUGGGCUAAUACCCCGGGGGGAUGACGGUACCGGAAGAAUAAGCACCGGCUAACUACGUG
rnacentral:rRNA from 1 species